rnacentral:rRNA from 1 species
GAUGAACGCUGGCGGCGUGCCUAAUACAUGCAAGUCGAGCGAACAGACGAGGAGCUUGCUCCUCUGACGUUAGCGGCGGACGGGUGAGUAACACGUGGAUAACCUACCUAUAAGACUGGGAUAACUUCGGGAAACCGGAGCUAAUACCGGAUAAUAUAUUGAACCGCAUGGUUCAAUAGUGAAAGACGGUUUUGCUGUCACUUAUAGAUGGAUCCGCGCCGCAUUAGCUAGUUGGUAAGGUAACGGCUUACCAAGGCAACGAUGCGUAGCCGACCUGAGAGGGUGCUCGGCCACACUGGAACUGAGACACGGUCCAGACUCCUACGGGAGGCAGCAGUAGGGAAUCUGCCGCAAUGGGCGAAAGCCUGACGGAGCAACGCCGCGUGAGUGAUGAAGGUCUUCGGAUCGUAAAACUCUGUUAUUAGGGAAGAACAAAUGUGUAAGUAACUAUGCACGUCUUGACGGUACCUAAUCAGAAAGCCACGGCUAACUACG